rnacentral:rRNA from 1 species
CCUACGGGUGGCUGCAGUGGGGAAUAUUGGACAAUGGGGGCAACCCUGAUCCAGCCAUGCCGCGUGUGUGAAGAAGGCCCUCGGGUUGUAAAGCACUUUCAGUGAGGAAGAACGCCUGGUGGUUAAUACCCAUCAGGAAAGACAUCACUCACAGAAGAAGCACCGGCUAACUCCGUGCCAGCAGCCGCGGUAAUACGGAGGGUGCGAGCGUUAAUCGGAAUUACUGGGCGUAAAGCGCGCGUAGGUGGCUUGAUAAGCCGGUUGUGAAAGCCCCGGGCUCAACCUGGGAACGGCAUCCGGAACUGUCAAGCUAGAGUGCAGGAGAGGAAGGUAGAAUUCCCGGUGUAGCGGGGAAAUGCGUAGAGAUCGGGAGGAAUACCAGUGGCGAAGGCGGCCUUCUGGACUGACACUGACACUGAGGUGCGAAAGCGUGGGUAGCAAACAGGAUUAGAUACCCUAGUAGUC